GUAUGGAUCACUGGUAUUGACAUCACGAACGGCGAGGUUGACACCACGCUUGAUGCGAAUCCUUAGAAGGCCGAGGAUGUCUUCCAUGAGGGACUUUGGUGGUGAAUUUUGUAUCGUUUCUCUAUGUCUCCAUCCCUUUCUUGUUAAUAUGUUCAAAAUAAAUUUUGGUUUUACUUGAAGAAGCGAAAAUGAAAAAAAAGACAACACAUACAUAUCAUGCAUGCACAAUGAUCAAUGCUAGCUAGCUGCUUGUUAAUCAAAUGAUAUAUAAUUGAACUUGAUCAGGAAAGUAACUAAUAAUUAUAUGCAUGGAGAUGGAGUUAAAGGAGAAGGGUGUACGUACCAGAAUUCAGUUAUUCCAGAUGAUUUGGGGCAGGCUGCUUGAAUCCUGAAUUCCAAAGGGAGAGAGAGAUUAAUUAUGUGAAUGGUGCAGGGUUGGGUUGUUGGGUUUGUUGGGGGUUAU
rnacentral:lncRNA from 1 species